CGUGCACUGGUGGGGUCCCUCGGCCUGGUCUGCGCCCUCUCACAAGCCAGGACCCUUGGGGGAUGUCAGAGAGCCGGUUUCAGCCCAGUCUCCGCAGACCAGGUCGAGGGACCCCACCAGUGCACA
rnacentral:pre_miRNA from 1 species